rnacentral:tRNA from 1 species
GCCCCUGUAGUUCAGUGACAGAACAGUUGCCUCGUAAGCAACAAGCGUAGGUUUGAUUCCUACCAGGGGCUCCA